AUGUCCCUACGGGGGGCAGCAGUGGGGAAUUUUGGACAAUGGGCGCAAGCCUGAUCCAGCUAUUCCGCGUGUGGGAUGACGGCCCUCGGGUUGUAAACCACUUUAGUAGAGAACGAAAAGGAGCUAUCGAAUAAAUAGCUCUGCUGACGGUACUCUAAGAAUAAGCACCGGCUAACUACGUGCCAGCAGCCGCGGUAAUACGGAGGAUGCGAGCGUUAUCCGGAUUUAUUGGGUUUAAAGGGUGCGUAGGCGGACGCUUAAGUCAGCGGUAAAAUUGCGGGGCUCAACCUCGUCGAGCCGUUGAA
rnacentral:rRNA from 1 species